GCCUGUGGCUAUACUGCUUCAGGCUGUGAUCUUGUCAGCUUUUACAAGAUAAGUAGGGUCAGGCAGGGUCAGCACUUGGAUUGGUAACUCUAAGGCAAGCCGGUAGCUGCAGGAA
ensembl:rRNA 5S_rRNA 5S ribosomal RNA